rnacentral:rRNA from 1 species
UACGGAGGGAGCUAGCGUUGUUCGGAAUUACUGGGCGUAAAGCGCAUGUAGGCGGCAGCGCAAGUCGGGCGUGAAAUCCCACGGCUCAACCGUGGAAGUGCACUCGAAACUGCGCAGCUAGAGUCCUGGAGAGGAAGGUGGAAUGCUUGGUGUAGAGGUGAAAUUCGUAGAUAUCAAGCGGAACACCGGUGGCGAAGGCGGCCUUC